CGCACCUUGCGCUCCUUGGUAUUCCGAGGAGCAUGCCUGUUUGAGUCUCAUGGAAUUCUCAACCUUCGGCUUCAUUGACGAAGGCUUGGACUUGGAGGUCGUGCCGGCUCUCGUAGUCGGCUCCUCUGAAAUGCAUUAGUGCGAACGUUACCAGCCGCUUCAGCGUGAUAAUUAUCUGCGUUGCUGUGGAGGGUAUUCUAGUGUCCGCGCUUCUAACCGUCUUCGGACAAAUUUCUGAACUCUGAGCUCAAAUCAGGUAGGACUACCCGCUGAACUUAA
rnacentral:misc_RNA from 1 species